UACGUAGGGGGCAAGCGUUGUCCGGAAUCAUUGGGCGUAAAGCGCACGUAGGCGGCCCUGUAAGUCCGUUGUGAAAGUCAAAGGCUCAACCUUUGAAUGCCGAUGGAUACUGCAGGGCUAGAGUUCGGUAGGGGAGACUGGAAUUCCUGGUGUAGCGGUGAAAUGCGCAGAGUAUCAGGAGGAACACCGGUGGCGAAGGCGGGUCUCUGGGCCGAUGACUGGCGCUGAGGAGCGAAAGCGUGGGGAGCGAACAGGA
rnacentral:rRNA from 1 species